GGAUGUGAGGGCAAUCUGGCUGCGACAUCUGUCACCCCAUUGAUCGCCAGGGUUGAUUUGGUUGAUCUGGCUGGCUGGGCGGGUGUCCCCUCCCUCCCUCACUGCUCCAUGUGCAUCCCUCCUGAAGCUGCACGCUCGGUGGAAGACGACGACCGUCCCAGAUAGAAGGAGUGUACCGUUCUUCGGUUAAGGGUAUACGAUAGCUGCCCUCCCCUGCUAGAACCUCCAAACAAGCUCAGAUACGUAGGGAUUCUUAACCACAAGGUUGUUCACGUAGACAUGGGACAGAAGGUGAAAAUGGAUGAUUCACCUAACUAAGGGUCAGAUUUUGCAGGCUUAUGUU